rnacentral:rRNA from 1 species
UACGAAGGGGGCUAGCGUUGCUCGGAAUGACUGGGCGUAAAGGGCGUGUAGGCGGUUUGUACAGUCAGAUGUGAAAUCCCCGGGCUUAACCUGGGAGCUGCAUUUGAGACGUGCAGACUAGAGUGUGAGAGAGGGUUGUGGAAUUCCCAGUGUAGAGGUGAAAUUCGUAGAUAUUGGGAAGAACACCGGUGGCGAAGGCGGCCCCCUGGACGAAGACUGACGCUCAGGUGCGAAAGCGUGGGGAGCAAACAGG